AACGUAGGAGACAAACGUUAUCCGGAGUUACUGGGCGUAAAGGGCGUGUAGGCGGUCUGUUAAGUCUGGCGUGAAAGCUCUCGGCUAAACCGGGAGAGGUCGUUGGAUACUGGCAGACUAGAGGACGGUAGAGGCGUGUGGAAUUCCGGGUGUAGUGGUGAAAUGCGUAGAGAUCCGGAGGAACACCAGUGGCGAAGGCGGCCUUCUGGACCAGUACUGACGCUGAGGCACGAAAGCGUGGGGAGCAAACAGG
rnacentral:rRNA from 1 species